AUCGCCGAAACCUAAUAAUCAUUAAUCUGGCAACCCUGAGCCAUUGUUCCGCUUUCUUUAUUUGCCUUCCCCCUCUUUAGCCCUCUCCCUCUCUCUGACGUUCUCGUCUGCGAUAUAGCAUGGCAGACCUGUCAGAGUCAAGAACGUCACACUUCCAUGUUUCUAGUUUCUUCUUCAUUCUCAGAGUUAAAUCCUUCAGAUCGUUGAAAGUUAUUGUCCCCUCUUCAUACACUACCCCAGUCGCCAUCUCGGCUCCGGAAUUUAUCUGCCUUUUUCGGCCCCCCUUUGAUAUUUGUCUAUCAUUACUGAUUCGGGUCUGAUUGUCCUCUAGUGUUGUCCAGUUACUGUACGAGUCACACUCUCUUCACAUUUUGUGUGUGUGUCUGCAACCCCAGAAACCGCACAUUUAUCUCCCACACCUGGUUUCUCAUCGUCUCAUAUUGAAUACAACAUUCAUUCAUGCAAAACCUACAGCCAGGUUACGAGGAAUUUCAUGCAAGGUUCCAUCAGUAGGAACAGGGUCAGCGGCUAAUUACUUGCCUAACACUUGUCACGUGACGAACAUGAAACUUCAAGUGUAAUUUUAUAUUAAUUUUAUUGCAAAAAAAAAUUAAAUUGCUUCCGAUUCCG